GGACCCGCACAAGCGGUGGAUGAUGUGGUUUAAUUCGAUGCAACGCGAAAAACCUUACCUACCCUUGACAUGCCAGGAAUCCUGCAGAGAUGUGGGAGUGCUCGAAAGAGAACCUGGACACAGGUGCUGCAUGGCCGUCGUCAGCUCGUGUCGUGAGAUGUUGGGUUAAGUCCCGCAACGAGCGCAACCCUUGUCAUUAGUUGCUACGAAAGGGCACUCUAAUGAGACUGCCGGUGACAAACCGGAGGAAGGUGGGGAUGACGUCAGGUCAUCAUGGCCCUUAUGGGUAGGGCUACACACGUCAUACAAUGGCCGGGACAGAGGGCUGCCAACCCGCGAGGGGGAGCUAAUCCCAGAAACCCGGUCGUAGUCCGGAUCGCAGUCUGCAACUCGACUGCGUGAAGUCGGAAUCGCUAGUAAUCGCGGAUCAGCUUGCCGCGGUGAAUACGUUCCCGGGUCUU
rnacentral:rRNA from 1 species